rnacentral:rRNA from 1 species
GUAGUCUGCAACCCGACUACAUGAAGCUGGAAUCGCUAGUAAUCGCGGAUCAGAAUGCCGCGGUGAAUACGUUCCCGGGUCUUGUACACACCGCCCGUCACACCAUGAGAGUCGGGAACACCCGAAGUCCGUAGUCUAACCGCAAGGGGGGCGCGGCCGAAGGUGGGUCCGGUAAUUGGGGUGAAGUCGUAACAAGGUACC